AACCUUAAUGAACAAAUUUGCAUACCUUUGAUGUCUGAGGACGAACUAGAACGAGAAAAGCUGGAACCGGAAAUUGCAGCCGAAGAAGAAGAAGAAACAGUAAAAGCCAUAUCCGAAAAUUAUUCCUUUGUUUACAGGAGGCAGAGAAAA